GUACUGAUGACGAGUCUCAGACUAAGACGAAACAGCUGUCCAGUAC
rfam:Trichobilharzia regenti genome assembly, scaffold: TRE_scaffold0001862